AUGUGCUAAAAGGAGCUACUGGAAAAGCGGAUGAAGCUGGUAGGAAAACAGUUACUGUGGUUAGCAAAGAUCACCGCAUAGAUGAUUUUCCUCAUAACAAGAGCCCUAUGGUCACCCGUACUCGGGUGCGUAGAGAGACUGUGAAGCACAUGAUCUAUCAAAACUGCUGACUUUUAUUUGCGCCUUACGUCCUCAGGCUGACGACGAUAGAAAUAUAACCAAGCAAGCUUGUGAGAUGAAGAUUUUCUGGUCUGAUAGUGAGCGGUGCUGCUGCUUAGCUAAUCAGACUCGAGAUUGUUUGUCUUUCUAGGUAGUUAGUUGAGUGUUACGUUUGUAAUAUGAUAAGUAGGUACUAUGCUUGUUUUAUUUGUCAUUUAAAUUUGGACA
rnacentral:misc_RNA from 1 species